rnacentral:rRNA from 1 species
AGCUCCAAUAGCGUAUAUUAAAGUUGUUGCAGUUAAAAAGCUCGUAGUCGAAUUUUUGGUGAUAGCAGCUGGUCAGUCUCAUAGACUGUACUAGUUGCUUGAUCCUUUUUCCUGGGACAGCGCCUCUGGUGCGAUUUCAGGUGUUUACUUUGAAGAAAUUAGAGUGUUUAAAGCGGGCAUUUGCUUGAAUACAUUAGCAUGGAAUAAUAGAAUAAGACUUUGGUUUUAUUUUGUUGGUUUUAAGAACCAAAGUAAUGAUUAAUAGGGAUAGUUGGGGGCAUUAGUAUUCAGAAGUCAGAGGUGAAAUUCUUGGAUUUUCUGAAGACUAACUACUGCGAAAGCAUUUGCCAAGGAUGUUUUCAUUG